CAAUUUGUGGUGAUGUGGUUAACACGCCGGAUUCCAAAUCCGAAGGCCCGAGGUUCGACUCCUCGCAAAUUGC
rfam:Paramecium tetraurelia chromosome undetermined scaffold_113, whole genome shotgun sequence.